CCUACGGGUGGCAGCAGUGGGGAAUAUUGCACAAUGGGGGAAACCCUGAUGCAGCGACGCCGCGUGAGUGAAGAAGUAAUUCGUUACGUAAAGCUCUAUCAGCAGGGAAGAUAUACUGACCUUACGGUCAGCAGACGGUACCUGAGUAAGAAGCCCCGGCUAACUACGUGCCAGCAGCCGCGGUAAUACGUAGGGGGCAAGCGUUAUCCGGAUUUACUGGGUGUAAAGGGAGCGUAGACGGUGCGCCAAGGCUGGAGUGAAAUGCCGCAGCUGAACUGCGGAACUGCUUUGGAAACUGGCGAACUAGAGUGCGGGAGGGGUAAGCGGAAUUCCUAGUGUAGCGGUGAAAUGCGUAGAUAUUAGGAGGAACACCGGUGGCGAAGGCGGCUUACUGGACCGUAACUGACGUUGAGGCUCGAAAGCGUGGGGAGCAAACAGGAUUAGAUACCCGGGUAGUC
rnacentral:rRNA from 1 species